rnacentral:tRNA from 1 species
GUGGCUGUAGCGUAGCGGUUAACGCACCAGAUUGUGGAUCUGGGGAUCGCGGGUUCGAAUCCCGUCAGCCACC